rnacentral:rRNA from 1 species
UACGGGGGGGGGUAAGCGUUGUUCGGAAUUACUGGGCGUAAAGGGCUCGUAGGCGGCCAACUAAGUCAUACGUGAAAUCCCUCAGCUUAACUGGGGAACUGCGUGUGAUACUGGAUGGCUUGGAUUUGGGAGAGGGAUGCGGAAUUCCAGGUGUAGCGGUGAAAUGCGUAGAUAUCUGGAGGAACACCGGUGGCGAAGGCAGCAUCCUGGACCAAUAUUGACGCUGAGGAGCGAAAGCCAGGGGAGCAAACGGG